rnacentral:rRNA from 1 species
UACGUAGGGUGCGAGCGUUGUCCGGAAUUAUUGGGCGUAAAGAGCUUGUAGGCGGUCUGUCGCGUCUGCUGUGAAAAUCCGGGGCUCAACCCCGGACUUGCAGUGGGUACGGGCAGACUAGAGUGUGGUAGGGGAGACUGGAAUUCCUGGUGUAGCGGUGAAAUGCGCAGAUAUCAGGAGGAACACCGAUGGCGAAGGCAGGUCUCUGGGCCAACUACUGACG